CAGGCAGGCGCCUGCCUUCCGCCUUGUCUAUGCCCUGCUGCACGUGCUGUUAUCCUAUCGCAUGCACUCGAGGCUACCAGUUCCCACUUGGAAGGCUCGUGGAGGAGAGGUGCCCUUGUGGCCUGGCCAUCAAGAGGCAAGUUCUCUCUUUGUCGUAAAUCUGUCAGGCUAGCCAGACGAAGCGCAAUAGAGGCAGAAGCAGAAGAGCAAAAUCUAACGAAGUUUCAUGUAGAUGGUAAAGAGCAUUGGAGAUAGAAUGGAGCCCUGUGGAACCCCAUACAAAAGCUUUUGUUUUGAAGAGCAACAAUCUCCAAGCGACACCAUCUGAAGCCUACAAGAGAGCCAGUUUGCUUCUAAUUGGGAAGUGGCCUAGAAAUACUCUAAAUCAACGAAGAGAAUGGGGUCUGCUGCUUCCUUCUGUCAGACCAGGUGCAGAUGUCUGAAAGGAUGAAGACAGAAGCCCCAUUGACACCUGAUGUUCAACACUCGGACGAGUGGACAGUGCACAGGUGCAGAAGUGUACACAGGGACAGCUAUACAUACAGGCUGUGGAAGACAGGCACUGCUAGACACUUCCCAUCUGGACCAUGCCUUGGAGGGGUCUCUACCCAGGUUCACUUUUUAAAGGAAUGCAACUACAGUCAUGCAGACAAAAUCAAAAAAAGCACUCAUGCUUACGGCAGUAUCGUGUCUGAUUCCAGUUGGGCCGAGAAAGAACCAGGAUAUUUGGAAGUAGGAAAGGCCACUCACAAUUAUCCCGGAAGAAGAGCUUACACAUUAUAUCUCAGAAAUGUAAGGAAGAACCUCUGCAGGCAGUCAAACCAUUUCAAGGACCCCAGGAGUAGAAGCAGCAGGAGUCUGUGCCGCAGGAGGAAAAAGCUCAAUGAGAAUUUACCUGGGUCCCUGGCUCCAGGUAGUUGGCCCCGGACACCGCCACGUGCAGCACUGCCAACUUCAGUUUUUGCGUGCUCAAGUCUGGAAGGGAAGAAGAAAUUCAGGCCCACACAUUUUAAAUUAAGGCCCACAAAUCUGCCAGUCUGCUAAGCAGUAGCUGUCCCAUCCUCCCCAAAGAGUCACCCCCAGUCGCAACCAUUCCCCCCAGGAGCCUGGGACACCUCCUCACCGAUGGUGACUCCCGAAGACGUCUGGCCCCCUUUUGGAGUUGGCGGAGGAGCCGGAGUUGGAGGAGGAGCCACAGCUGGAGGAGCAGCCACAGUUGGAGGAGGAGCCGGAGUGGGCUCAAUCCGGUGCCUCCUUUUCCAGAACCUCCAUCUGGGGGCCUUGGAGUCACAUGUGGGGGAGGCUUUCCACAGUUCCCUGCAGCAACGGCAGACCCUCCGCAGCCUAGAAGAGAGCAGGGAGAAGACUUCAAGAUCAUCAAGGUACUUUCUUUUUUUUUCUGAACUGAGGAUUUAUGGUAGGCUACUUCUAUCAAAGAAAUCACCGACCAGAACAGCAUAGAAGACUCAGCUUCCAGUUAACUACAGCACUUAUUGUUAAGGAUUUACAACUUAGGCAACCUUUGAGUUAUCUAACACUUUGGAAUGAGACUGAUUAACUACUUCAGUUAAAUAAGAGGACGAACAAUCAAAACGCAUGCUUAAGGUUUGUUCAUAACUAAUUUGUUAAUCUUUAAUUCUGUUAGACACUUCUGAAAGGAUCUACAUAUUUCUAAA